GGAAGGGUAGCUCAGUGGUAGAGCGUCUCCGACGGCGACCGCUCCGCGGCCGCCCGGAGUACGGCUUCGCGUGGUUCGACUCCCGCCCCUUCCA
rnacentral:tRNA from 1 species